CACGGAGGGGGCUAGCGUUGUUCGGAAUUACUGGGCGUAAAGCGCACGUAGGCGGCUUUGCAAGUUAGAGGUGAAAGCCCGGGGCUCAACUCCGGAAUUGCCUUUAAAACUGCAUCGCUAGAAUUGUGGAGAGGUAAGUGGAAUUCCGAGUGUAGAGGUGAAAUUCGUAGAUAUUCGGAAGAACACCAGUGGCGAAGGCGACUUACUGGACACAUAUUGACGCUGAGGUGCGAAAGCGUGGGGAGCAAACAGG
rnacentral:rRNA from 1 species